UAUUAAUCUUGUUUAUUUUUUUGUACUAUAAAGUUUAAUGCAUUAUUUAUUGAGGAAGUAUGGACACAUCCAACAACUUGCGCCCUAGGAAGAUGUUAAAGAGGUGGAGUUUAUGAUCGUUUGCCCCAUAGAAGAUGCGAGUGGUAACAAGCUAAGAGCAAAUGGAUGUUCGACCUUGAGAUCUCUGUUGCCAUAGCCGAUGGCCCCGCCAUUAUAACUCUCAGCCGCUUGGGUCUUCGAGUGCCAAGUUUGCAAUAUUGUGCGCUUGAGUUGCGUGGCUUUAACAAAUUGCUCAUCCCAACAAUCAGCCAAAUUUAGUCAAAUACAUGCUACAAUUAAGGUAGCGUCAUUAGCACAACAACAAAAAUCUACCCCCAACGAAACUACCUUACAAAUGCCGUAAAUUAAAAUGUCAAAGUGGUUUUAGAAAUAAACAUUGUUUUACAACCUAUCGUCUUCAAA